rnacentral:rRNA from 1 species
GUAGGAGGGCAGGUAAGUCAGUGGUGAAAUCCCCGAGCUUAACUUGGGAACUGCCGUUGAUACUAUCUGUCUUGAAUAUUGUGGAGGUAAGCGGAAUAUGUCAUGUAGCGGUGAAAUGCUUAGAUAUGACAUAGAACACCAAUUGCGAAGGCAGCUUGCUACACAAUCAUUGACUCUGAUGCACGAAAGCGUGGGGAUCAAACAGGAUUAGAUACCCUGGUAGUCCACGCCCUAAACGAUGGAUACUCGACAUCAGCGAUACACUGUUGGUGUCUGAGCGAAAGCAUUAAGUAUCCCACCUGGGAAGUACGACCGCAAGGUUGAAACUCAAAGGAAUUGG